AUGCAUGACUUUCGUAACGGCUUGGUGGAUUCGCUACCGGGAACCAACCAAUAUCUCUGUUGGAAUUAUUCGGCUUCCACUGCGGCGCCAUCACACCGGCCCCGCGUAUCUUCACGUCUUAACUUUCCUGGUUAUCUCGGAGAUACCGAAACUUAUCAUCUGAUGAAUAAAGUAUGUCCUUCCCGAACCAUAACUUCGCUCUGUACCUUAACAUCGUUCCUGUGGCAUCAUUAUUAG